rnacentral:lncRNA from 1 species
AGCCGUGAGCUAGCAGGCAGUCACCGUGGUUCCCCUCGCACUCCCCCUCCGGAGAAUUCCCCGAGAAGGCGGGCGCCGGCUUCGGCCCCGGGAUAGACCUGCGGCGGCGGCGGGAACGGCCACGCACAGGCACCCACAGCCACUUAGGAAGUUGGAGUCCUGGAGAGGAGAACACAGAACGUGGACAACUAGCUGUCAAAUUGCAGUAAAAGUUGGUUCAGGAAAAGUGGAAGCUACCCAGAUGUCUACCAAUUGAGAUGAACCAUCCAAUCUCCUGCCUCGAGUAUUGAAGCCUGGCUACUGUGACUGUGGGGAAGGGAUUAAUGGUCUCAGCAUUCAGCCAACAACAAUACCUGCUCACUAUAAGCAUUCAGAAAACAGAAAAGUUUCAAGAAGCAGGAAGAAAAGACUCACCUAUGAUCCCAACACCCAGAGUACAGAAGCUUCUAUUCUGGAAUAGAACAGCUAGCAUACUACCAAGACUUUUCAAGGAGCAAGAAUGGAGCUCCCUGGAGAACUGACUGAACAUGGCUUCAGAGGCAGUAUCCAUAGACAUAGAGACAAAAAGUGCCCUCACUUUUACUGUAUUUUGACCUGGACCAGUCUACAUUUAUAUGAAUAGCUACAAAGCAGCUUUCAGCACAAGGCUGUAGGGUAGGUUCAGAUUUGGCCUCUCCAUUAAUUAGUAAGUACCAUUAGCUGGGCAGACAGCUGCCAAAGGGACUUUCUCCACACUCCCAUGAGUUGGUCACAGAGAUGUUACUGUACUUUUUUACUCAUCACCAUGAUUAAUUGCUGCACUUAGUUCAUAAUUUCCCCUGGGAGUUAACCCCUAGCUUGGGAUAAACACUAAGGUUUUGUCAAAUCCUCCCAUUCUAAGAUUGGAAUAUUGUUGCAUCAUCCUGUUGGAUGAUUCAGGAUUUUAAAAGUUCAGAGCACUCUGAUAUUCCGACAAUUAUAUACACAUUGUUUUCAGUCUUCUUCUGCUUUAUGAUCCUUGUUUAUAUUUCUUUGUGUCAUUCUUUUUAGUAAUUAUUUCCAUCGUUUCUUAAGCAUAAACAUGUUCUAACUGGCUGUGCGGUAGUGUUUCAAUAGAGCUCGUCAUUUCUAGGCAAGCUCUUCUAAUAAUAUUUUAUAUUUUUAAUUUAUCUCCUUAUAUUUUGCUGUAAUAUGGGUUUCAUUGAUUUUUAAAAUGAGUUUUGUUUGUUGUAAUAUAAGGUUAAUUCUGUUAUGUGCCAGAAUUAUACAUUUGACAGUUUUCCAUGGAAUUAUUUCAAUUGGCAAAUUAAAUAAACUCAGACUAUAGCCUCAGUAUUAGUAUUCUUAAUGGAUACACUUUUUAAAAGUAAAGACAAAUUCCCUGACCUAAAUAGUUAGGCAGAAAAUGAGACAUGUAAAGUAAAAUCAGUAUUUCGUUUCUUUGAAACUUUAUUGUGACUUGAAACAGUGCAACAAAAUAUCAGUCUAAUGCCAUAUUACUGAUUUUACCAGUGCUGUAAUUUUUAAAUAAUAAAUGUAUACUUUACUGAUUAAUGACUUGAGAGCUGCUUACUCUUCAUCAACGUAAAACUGCUCUUCAAGUUUCCCAUUCCACCUCUGCGGUAUCACUUACUUUCAAUAAGCUCAUCUCUCAUUUAAUUUAAAAUGUAAGGUAGUACAUUCAAUAGCUCUCUACAUCAAUUGUUUUUAACUAGAUUAAUUUAUGCCUAUGUAAGUAUAAAUAAGGCCUUGAAGUUGCUUGCGUGAUAAAUAAUAAAUAAAAUACAAAUUGUUGAACAGAUCAAUGGAAAAGGAAAUAAGAGUGGAUUAAUAAAAUAAAACCAGAAGAUACAAUUAGUUUAAGAAAUGCCUACUGUAAAAUCCCAUUAAAUCACUAGAAGUAGAAUGUAGAUUUGGCUCUGAGCUUCCCAGUAGCCAAAGCAAAAAGAACUGCAUUAUUUGCAAGGUUGACUGUUUUUGUAAUAUGUUUUAAGGUUUUGUUUCACAAAAAACCAUCUUUUCCUGAUAUGAGCAUGAAGAGAUAUUUCUCUUGAGAGUCCUGAUGAACAGCUUGUUACAGGAUAUGAAACACAUUGUCCUCAACGUCACUCUGACAGUAAUUUCGAAGGGAAGUUUCUGUAUUUUUGUUUCUCAAAAACGUGAAUUGUAGCAGUAAUGCCAAAGCAAUAUUCAGUAACACCAGUUUUACAUGUAACCAAAACAAUGGAAUACAAGUUUG